rnacentral:rRNA from 1 species
AUUGAACGCUAGCGGGAUGCUUUACACAUGCAAGUCGAACGAGUGGCGGACGGGUGAGUAAUAUAUCGGAAAGUGCCCAGUAGCGGGGGAUAACUACUCGAAAGAGUGGCUAAUACCGCAUACUAUUAGAUCUGCCCAUAUUGGAUUAGCUAGUUGGUGGGGUAAAGGCUCACGAAGGCAACGAUCCGUAGCUGGUUUGAGAGGACGACCAGCCACACUGGGAUUGAGAAACGGCCCAGACUCCUACGGGAGGCAGCAGUGGGGAAUUUUGGACAAUGGGGGCAACCCUGAUCCAGCCAUGCCGCGUGUAUGAGAAGGCCUUCGGGUUGUAAAGUACUUUUGGCAGGGAGGCGGUAGCUGCAGAAUAAGCACCGGCUAACUACGUGCCAGCAGCCGCGGUAAUUC